AGGAGUCGGCGGAUGCGAAGGCUGGCGCAGCUGCCGCUGUGGCAGCGGUGAGGCGGCGGUGGCGGCUGCUGAGGCUCCGCGCUGGGGAUAUUGGCGGCGGCAACUGCGGGCUGAGCUACGCUGUGCAGACCCAGUGCACAGUGCGGGAUCCCGGGACGGCGCGUACCUUAGAAGAUGCCUCUGAUGGAACAGGCUCUGGGAAGCUUCCCCGGCCCCGUGGCUUUGAACAGGAGCUCAAGCCGGAGGCAGUUUAAAGCCCUGGCCGUUGUAUCCUGAGGACCGCAGGUCAGGAGAAGAUGGCUGUAAGUUUAGAUGACGAUGUGCCGCUCAUCCUGACCUUGGACGAGGCUGAGAGUGCUCCGCUGCCUCCUUCGAACAGCCUGGGCCAAGAGCAGCUGCCCAGCAAAAAUGGGGGCAGCCACAGCAUCCACAACUCCCAGGUCCCCAGUCUGGUCUCCGGAGCGGACAGCCCCCCCUCCAGUCCCACCGGACACAACUGGGAGAUGAAUUAUCAAGAGGCGGCAAUCUACCUCCAGGAAGGUCAGAACAACGACAAGUUCUUCACCCACCCCAAGGAUGCCAGAGCGCUGGCGGCCUACCUCUUCGUCCACAACCACUUCUUCUACAUGAUGGAGCUGCUCACGGCCCUGCUCCUGCUGCUGCUGUCGCUGUGCGAGUCCCCCGCUGUCCCCGUGCUCAAGCUGCACACUUACGUCCACGCCACGCUGGAACUCUUUGCCCUCAUGGUGGUGGUAUUUGAACUCUGCAUGAAAUUGCGGUGGCUGGGCUUCCACACGUUCGUCCGGCACAAACGUACCAUGGUCAAGACGUCCGUCCUCGUGGUGCAGUUCAUCGAGGCCAUUGUGGUGCUGGUUCGGCAGACGUCCCACGUGCGGGUGACCCGGGCACUACGCUGCAUUUUCCUGGUGGACUGUCGCUACUGUGGCGGUGUACGGCGCAACCUGCGGCAGAUCUUCCAGUCUCUCCCACCCUUCAUGGACAUCCUCCUGUUGCUGCUCUUCUUUAUGAUCAUCUUUGCCAUCCUCGGUUUCUACUUAUUCUCCACAAAUCCUUCCGACCCCUACUUCAGCACCCUGGAGAACAGCAUCGUCAACCUGUUCGUUCUCCUGACCACAGCCAACUUUCCAGAUGUCAUGAUGCCCUCCUACUCCCGGAACCCCUGGUCCUGCGUCUUCUUCAUUGUAUACCUCUCCAUUGAGCUGUACUUCAUCAUGAACCUGCUCCUGGCCGUGGUGUUCGACACCUUCAACGACAUUGAAAAGCACAAGUUCAAGUCUUUGCUGCUGCACAAACGGACCGCCAUCCAGCAUGCCUACGGCCUGCUUGCCAGCCAACGGAGGCCGGCUGGCAUCUCCUACAGGCAGUUCGAAGGCUUAAUGCGCUUCUACAAGCCCCGGAUGAGUGCAAGGGAACGCUUCCUGACUUUCAAGGCCUUGAACCAGAGCAACACGCCUCUGCUCAGCCUGAAGGACUUCUAUGAUAUUUACGAAGUCGCUGCUCUGCAGUGGAAGGCAAAGAGAAACAGACAGCAUUGGUUUGAUGAGCUCCCCCGGACAGCCUUCCUCAUCUUCAAAGGGAUUAACAUCCUUGUGAAUUCCAAGGCCUUCCAGUAUUUCAUGUACUUGGUGGUGGCUGUCAACGGUGUCUGGAUCCUGGUGGAGACAUUCAUGUUGAAAGGUGGGAAUUUCACCUCAAAGCAUGUGCCCUGGAGUUACCUCGUGUUUCUUACCAUCUAUGGAGUUGAACUGUUCAUGAAGGUGGCUGGCCUGGGCCCUGUGGAGUACCUGUCCUCUGGAUGGAACCUGUUCGAUUUCUCGGUCACGGCAUUCGCCUUCCUGGGACUGCUCGCACUGACGCUCAACAUGGAACCCUUCUAUUUCAUUGUGGUCCUGCGUCCCCUUCAGCUGCUGAGGUUAUUUAAACUGAAGAAACGCUACCGCAACGUGUUGGACACCAUGUUUGAGCUGCUGCCGCGGAUGGCCAGCACUGGCCUGGCUGAACUGUCUAGCGGGGAGGGCAGGGAGCUGUCGACUUACCACCUGUGUCUACGUUCACAGCCUUGGCCUCACGCUGCUCACCUUCUACUAUUCCUUCGCCAUCGUGGGCAUGGAGUUCUUCAACGGGCGGCUGACCCCCAACUGCUGCAACACCAGCACAGUGGCCGACGCCUACCGGUUCAUCAACCACACUGUGGGCAAUAAGACCAAGGUAGAGGAAGGCUACUACUAUCUCAACAACUUUGACAACAUCCUCAACAGCUUCGUGACCUUGUUUGAGCUCACCGUUGUCAACAAUUGGUACAUCAUCAUGGAAGGCGUCACCUCGCAGACGUCCCACUGGAGCCGCCUGUACUUCAUGACCUUUUACAUAGUGACCAUGGUGGUGAUGACCAUUAUCGUGGCCUUCAUCCUGGAGGCCUUCGUCUUCCGCAUGAACUACAGCCGCAAGAGCCAGGACUCGGAAGUGGACAGUGGCAUCGUCAUCGAGAAGGAAAUGUCCAAGGAGGAGCUUAUGGCCGUCCUGGAGCUUUAUCGUGAGGAGCGAGGCACCUCCUCUGACGUGACCCGGCUGCUGGACACCCUCUCUCAGAUGGAGAAAUACCAGCAAAAUUCCAUGGUGUUUCUGGGACGGCGAUCGAGAACCAAAAGUGACCUGAGUCUGAAGAUGUACCAGGAGGAGAUCCAGGAGUGGUACGAGGAGCAUGCCCGGGAACAGGAGCAGCAGAAGCUCAGGGGCAGCGUGCCCGGCCCUGCAGCCCAGCAGCCCCCUGGCAGUCGCCAGCGCUCCCAGACUGUCACCUAGCUGGGUUUCGUCAAGCCAGCCUCUUCUAUGCAAUAACACCAUAGUAUUAUGUACUAGGACGUAUGGGAACCAUGUGUGUAUGUAGACACACUCAUAUAUAUGCACAUAUUUACACAGAGACAGAAAAGAGACUAUAGCCAGGGUCCGUUCCAGCCACCUCGCUCUGUCUUCCUGAGCUCCAGAAAUAACCAGCUUAGGCUGGAGGCCCAGGCCUGGCGGAGCUCUCGUCCUACCAUGGAAAACUCUGGAAGCCCUCUGCUCAAGAAGCCCCUUAAAUAGGCUAUCUCGUCUCAGCAAUGCCGGCUUUCCCCGGGGAGGGAUGGGGGGAGCUUGACCGCCUCCCUACUGCGGCCUCCAGCUUCGUCCCUACCUGAACCCCAGCCAACACAGGUGUCUGUGUCUGGUAUGAGGAUCAAAACCACUAGGAAGAAACCCCACACCCUGCAGGAUGACAUCUAUCAAUGACAAAAGUGUUAGAAGGUUCCCUUGAGGGAGACAGAAGAGCUUACUCUCUCAGGCUCCCAGUCCUUUCUUGUUGCUGGAACCCUACCACAACUCCCCCACCCCCACCCCCGGGAACCCCCACCCCCACCCCCGGCAGGAUCCCUCCAUGCAGGAGAAAGCCAACCAGAGGCCCUGGGAAUUUGACUUGCUCAGGGGAGUUCAUUUGAACUGGUGCUGAAGGCAGCCCCCCUCACCAACCACACUUUCACACUGCCUCCUCCAAGAUUCUCAUAAGCUAGGUGGGUAGGGGUGGCGAGUCAGGUCAGGUGACUUGUGGGAGUUCUUUUGAGGCCACCAUAGUAUAUGGUGGCAGAGCGAUGGAGCCCUGCUGUGUUGUCCACAAGGGGCUGAAGGUGGGCAGGGCCCGAAGUUGCCUAGCACCCCCACCCCCCCACCCCUGCGCACUCCCUCCAGGCUAACCUGGCCUUCCAAACCUGCUGUUGCUUGGGAGUUGGAGUGGGCAGGCACAGCCCCCCCCUCCUGUUCUCCCAGCCGCAGAACCAGGGGUCAAGCUGGAAAGCGGAUGUUUUUACUUUAAAUAAAGCACAGUUGCCCCCCCCCCCCCAAUACAUACACUAUCCCCCAGGAAAAACCUCUGGUUUCCACAGAGAGUCAGGAGACUGGCCAAGUCCCUUCCACUUCAAAGAGCUCUUGGCCUCCACUUGGACUCCAGUUCCCAACCCUGAGAAGCAGUUUCAUUUCCAUAGCCGGUUGCCUUAGCUUCUUUGUGUGUGAGGGGCAUUUUGGAAGCAGAAAGAGGGGAGGCCUAUAAAGAGGGCGGUGGGGGGGGGGAGGCUCUGAGCAACUGCCUGGUUCUAGGCCCCUUCCUCUACCCCAGGUACCCUCAGCCUAGGGGAGCAGGCUCAGGUGGAAGGGACUGGUCUUGGGCCCCAUGUAGAGGUACUAAAACCCCUGGGUCUAGCACAUACCAGCCAGGUGCCUGAGCAAGACAGGGCCCUCAGGCCAAACUGUAGCCCCACAGAGUCACCUUUGAGCACACACCAAGCUGACCCUCAAACUUGCUAGCCAGGCAGGGAACAGACUGUGUCGCCCAGGGCUGUAAGCUGAGACCCCUGGGAUCCCUGUCUAAGCUAGAUGCCCCUUCCCUCCAUUCAGCAGAGUGAGAACUAGUGGCUCCGUGUCACAGCCUAGCAGGGGCAGCUACGGAACCACCACGCUGCUUCUCCCGAGUGGGGAUAGGGCACUCUGUGGGAACCACCACGCUGCUUCUCCCGAGUGGGGAUAGGGCACUCUGUGGGAACAGUGUCCGGCCCCUCCCUCUCGCUUCUCCACCCCCUCCACCCCAGCCUUACUCCACACCGUGCAGACAAUCAUUUUGUAUGGGUUAAGAGCCACGUCGUCGGAAGGUUUUAUACAGUGAUUUGUUACCUAGGAACGCACUGUGCCCAGAUUUCUGGUGUGCCAAUAAAAGAGCCUCUGCUUUAUA